ACCGAAAGCCAGUAGAUGAAUGGGAAAGAGGUGGGCCUGGUUCCUUAAAGGGGACGCCUUGAGAACCUAGCAAAAGAGGUGUUUGAAGAAACUUCUUUGUAUCCUGUUCUCUGUUCUGCUUUUACACGUCUUUUGUAGGAGUUUGAAAGUGGAAAAACUAGAAAGAAAGAGCACACGGAAGGCUUUCAAGAACGAUUAGAGAGAUCCUCUUAUCCUAGAGGGCAGGAAGGCGGGAUGAAGCUCUGUAAUAGAAGGUGAGGAAGAAUAAAAAAGAAUGCAGACGUCUCCGGGUGCCAUUUCACUGGAAGACCAUUGCCGACCUGACGCUGCUCGAAUUUGUUGGCUGCGAUCAUCUAUCAUUUUUCAUUUGCCCCAAAGGCGGUUUCCUGCGAUCUGGAGAUGACCGGGUUAAGAAAGGUGUCCUCCACCUAGUGGAGCGCUUCCACCUCCAGGUUUGGAAAUGUCCCGGAUCUUAGACGUCCGGGGACUAGACCAGGCUUAUUCAGUUUUUAUAUUUUGGCUGCCCCAUAGGGCAUGUGGGAUCUUAGCUUCCCAACCAGGGAUCAAACCCACAUUCUCUCCACUGGCAGCACAGAAGUCUUAAUCAAUGGACCAUCAUUGGAUUGGCAAGGGCUUUCAGAGCAGUACUAUACAGAAGUGGACUGGCAAUAAUCCAGGAACCAUGCUCUAAAUUUGUCCAAGGAGCUACCUCAGAUAUGCAGAUGACACCCUUAUGGCAGAAAGCAAAGAGGAACUAAAGAGCCUCUUGAUGACAGUGAAAGAGGAGAGAGAAAAAGUUGACUUAAAGCUCAAUAUUCAGAAAACGAAGAUCA